GGUGGACCAUCAACGACAAGCAGUCCCUGACCUUCCAGAACGUGGUCUUCAAUGUCAUUUAUCAGAGCGCGGCGGUCUUCAAGCUCUCACUGACGGCCUCCAACCACGUGAGCAACGUCACCGUGAACUACAACAUCACCGUGGAGCGGAUGAACAGGAUGCAGGGCCUGCGGGUCUCUACAGUGCCAGCCGUGCUGUCCCCCAAUGCCACGCUGGCACUGACGGCGGGCGUGCUGGUGGACUCGGCCGUGGAGGUGGCCUUCCUGUGGACCUUUGGGGAUGGGGAGCAGGCCCUCCACCAGUUCCAGCCUCCGUACAACGAGUCCUUCCCGGUUCCAGACCCCUCGGUGGCCCAGGUGCUGGUGGAGCACAAUGUCACCCACACCUACGCUGCCCCAGGUGCUGAUCCGCAGUGGCCGGGUGCCCAUUGUGUCCUUGGAGUGUGUGUCCUGCAAGGCACAGGCCGUGUACGAAGUGAGCCGCAGCUCCUACGUGUACCUGGAGGGCCGCUGCCUCAAUUGCAGCAGCGGCUCCAAGCGAGGG
ensembl:lncRNA novel transcript